UGCUCGGUCGUGCCCCCAGUCC
rnacentral:misc_RNA from 1 species